CAGUCGCCACGGUAAUACGUAGGCAGCGAGCGUUGUUCGGAAUUACUGGGCGUAAAGAGUGUGUAGGCGGUGCUCUAAGUUCGGUGUGAAAUCUCCCGGCUUAACUGGGAGGGUGCGCCGGAAACUGGAAUGCUCGAACGUGGGAGAGGAAAGCGGAAUUCCUGGUGUAGCGGUGAAAUGCGUAGAGAUCUGGAGGAAUACCGAUGGCGAAGGCAGCCAUCUGGCCUAAUACUGACGCUGAGGUACGAAAGCAUGGGGAGCAAACAGGAUUAGAUACCCGCGUAGUCCCUGUCUCUUAUAC
rnacentral:rRNA from 1 species